rnacentral:rRNA from 1 species
GACGAACGCUGGCGGCGUGCCUAAUGCAUGCAAGUCGCACGCGGCACCUUCGGGUGCUGAGUGGCGAACGGCUGAGGAACACGUGGGGACCUGUCCGGGAGUGGGGGACAACACCGCGAAAGCGGUGCUAAUCCCGCAUACGCUCUGAGGAGGAAAGCCGAAAGGCGCUCCCGGGUGGCCCUGCGGCCCAUCAGGUUGUUGGUGGGGUAACGGCCUACCAAGCCAAUGACGGGUCGCUGGUCUGUGAGGACGACCAGCCAGACUGGGACUGGGACACGGCCCAGACUCCUACGGGAGGCAGCAGCAAGGAAUUUUCGGCAAUGGGCGCAAGCCUGACCGAGCAACGCCGCGUGCAGGAAGACGGCCUUCGGGUUGUAAACUGCUUUUGCUAGGGAUGAUAACAGACGGUACCUGGCGAAUCAGCCCCGGCUAACUCUGUG